ACUCUAGCUACAGAUUAGAAUGAUGACAAGAGUAAUACCUUCCUAGUGAAGAUGACUUUUAUUUCAGGACUAUAUUAAGUUUCCCAACUUCUGUCAUGAUAUAGUCCAAAGAGAACCUGGACCACGCAGACAUCAAACAGAACAUGACACUGACCCAUUCUAUCAGUGACGUUGUGCUGAUUGCACAGGACAGAUGAGAGGCUCGUAUACUAGAAGUCUUGCAUCAUCUUUAUGUAAAUCACUGUACUUGGCUUCGUGAGAAAUAUAAAAAUGAAUUGCUUCAAUCCCUGGACUCAAGGAUCCUGUGUUACCAAGGUGGUUAUCAAACCUGGGUCAAAGUUGAAUCACCUGAGGAUCUUUUAGAACAUACACAGCCAGCUGGACCUGCCCUCAGCUACCUCAUCUCUCUCUGUGACCUAAUGACAGAAAAGCACAUGAUUCUCUUCACCUGACUUCAUAUAUGGGUCCAUGUCAUAUGAUACUUCAAAAUCUGUGAUUCCAUGAAGCCAAGAGUAGCUCUUCAACAGGAAAUGAAUGAGUGCUUCAGCUUCUGAUCCCAUUAGUAAGAAAAUACAGUCUUAUGAGCAAUGAUGGAGCUGCAUCUCUUAGGGGCAUUUGAUUCCCAAGAGACCAAAGAGCAAAGAGAAUGUCAAUUUAAAAAAAUCAAAUGUUUCCAUGACUUAGCUAUUUAACUGCUUUAAAAUGAAUGAAUGCUGCUUCAAGUUCUUUCAAAUACCCCACAUCUUGGCAACAACGAAAGGAAUUAACAUGAAGAAAAUUUACAAUCUUUCAUCACAUCGAACAAUGUCCCACAUUUGAAAAGUUCACAGCACAGAUUUCUGGUUACUGAAAGAAAGGAAAGACCUUCUUUGGAUUUGAAUAAACAGAUGGACUUUC
rnacentral:lncRNA from 1 species